UGGAUGUGAUGACAGCUGAGGUGUGGCGCUGGCAUGAGUGACUGAAUAGAAGCAGCAAUGUAGUGUUUAGAUCAACAUGUGUUUAGUGUUUAAGGUGUAACUUAGCUCAGAGGUGUGUGUGUGUGUGUGUGUGUGUGGCUGAUGGGUGGGGGUGUCAUAGAUCAGUGCUGAUACAGGAGUGCAUCUGAGGCCGGCCGCUCACACUGAGGCCUCUCUGCGGUCUGGCUGAUGAUUAGAGCCUCAUUAUCACUCUCACCCUCGGCUGCCAGCGCCUCAAUCUCAGCAGGGCCCGUGAUUGUCACGUGCGCCCUGCGAUCUGAUCCAA